AGCAAAUUCUAGGACUAGAGGGCAUCCGGCUCAACACUGGCGGCCUCCCCCAUUCUUAGAGCUUUCUGGUCUGCACUGCACAAGCCCCAAGAGUGGAAGCGAUGCUGAGGCUGGAGUCGGGACAUCCAGGACUCUGGCGAUCCGUGGCGCUGGGACCCGGGUCCUGGGGGAAGACCCAGGCUCAGCAGAGUGGAGAGAGGGACCCUCUCCUGGGUCCUCAGUUUUCUCACCAGUGGAAUGGCCCGAUCAGACCAGAGCGUCCACGUGGCUCCCAUCAGUUGUCUCCUGGAUGGCUACAGUCUUCUCUGCACCGAGGAGCUUCCACUCGGGGGCACGGUCCCUGGCGGCUGGUGUCAUUGUCCCUGUUGUUCGGGUGCCCAGACGAGCACAGAUGAAGUCUGCAUAGGACACAGACGACGAACUACCCUGUGCUCAGCAUUCUGGAGGCAGGGAGGGAGGCCCAGGCUGGUGAAGACAGUCACAGGACAGAGCCUCAGGGAGCUGUCCCCACCCUUCCUGGGGGCCUCCAGCCCCGAACAGGGGCUCUUGAAAGGAACCCUUUGUGUGUUGAGCUCCUGGGGGGGGCGCUGAGCCACAAGGUCACCUCCGUCCCCCAGCUGACGCGGGGGUGGGGGCGGAAGUAACCCCAGCAGGUGGCUCCUGAGAGGGGCGCAGGCCAGGCCUUCCUCACGCUGCGCGCCCAGCCACGGGGAAGAGCAAGGGCAGGGCCCACGGCACACGCUGCGGACAGUGCCCGGGAAGGUGGGAGAGCCCAGAGCUCCCCUUCUCCGCCCUCCGUCCCUGGCGGCGGUGUUUGCUCUUUAACGCUAUUCUAAGUACAGAAAGUGGACAGCUCUCGGCACACGUUUCCUGCUCACUCUCACCUCGCGCGAUGCCAUUCUGCACCGCAAGUGCGGGCGGGAGCACUGAGGCCACGCAGUGCCCCCCGCGCCUGGCGUCCAGGCUCCUGGGUUUCGUUACCAGCCCCGGGGCUCGCACAGUGCGGAGCUGGGCCGGCUGUUUGCCUGCUGCUCCAUCCGCA